GGGGGGGCGGGGGGGCGGUGAGGGAUUGGGGGGGGGGGGGUCUUCAGGUGAGGUGUCUCCAGGUGAGCAGCCUGCAGAAGAGGCCUCGCCAGGUGAGAUUCGUCCCAUGCGGGUUACAAGGACCUGGGGUGCCCUCGUGGUGGCGCCCCAUGCACCACCCCCAUGUGGCACUCCUUACCCUACUAGGUGGUGGUGCCAUUACCCCACUAGGUGGUGGUGCCAUUACCCCUCUAGGUGGUGGUGCCGUUACCCCACUAGGUGGUGGUGCCGUUACCCCACUAGAUGGUGGUGCCGUUACCCCUCUAGGUGGCACUCCUUACCCCUCUCGGUGGUGGUGCCGUUACCCCACUAGGUGGCACUCCUUACCCCUCUAGGUGGUGGUGCCGUUACCCCACUAGGUGGCGUCCUUACCCCACUAGGUGGUGGUGCUGUUACCCCACUAGGUGGCACUCCUUACCCCACUAGGUGGCGCCGUUACCCCACUAGGUGGCACCGUUACCCCACUAGGUGUCACUCCUUACCCCUCUAGGUGUCACUCCUUACCCCACUAGGUGUCACUCCUUACCCCUCUAGGUGUCACUCCUUACCCCACUAGGUGUCACUCCUUACCCCUCUAGGUGUCACUCCUUACCCCACUAGGUGGCGCCGUUACCCCACUAGGUGGCACUCCUUACCCCACUAGGUGGCACUCCUUACCCCACUAGGUGGCGCCGUUACCCCACUAGGUGGCACUCCUUACCCCACUAGGUGGCACUCCUU